UGAUAAACUAAUAAAUAAAAAAAAUCUAGCUAAACAAGCAGAUAUUGAAAGAAGUAUUGUUAAUUACAUGAGGUUGUUUGUUUAACCAAACCUGUAUGUCCAAGGUUUUAUGCACUACAGGUGAAUUACAGGUGAAGUCACUCAAUCCAGUCCCUGAGGCCUGUUGGGGGGACCAUACCAAGGACUCCUGGUAACAGCUAGCUGAAAGAGCUACCCGGAUUCAUAUCACACUAAGGGAGGGUAAGACACAUUGACACUGUCGAACAAGCACAGUGUCCGAGAGGAGAACUGGAAUUAACAGAAUUCUGGGGGCCAUCUCUCGGAUAAAGAUUUUCCUUUUCCCCGUCAUUCCAUUCCUGUGUUUGUUCAUAGAAGUGAAAGUGUGUCUGGCUUCUUGCUGAUGAUGUUUUCUCUGGGAGAGGGUGGGGCUUUAUAGGUGGGCGGUCCAUCCUGAGCUGUCUGGUUGUGGGAGCCAUAUUCCUGAUACACCAUGAACCCCAAGAAGGCCAGAGGGAUUCUGGAGAAAUCGAUGACACAACAGAUGAUGAAGUAUGGACCAAUCAUAAGCUCUGACCAGUGGAAGGAUGAAUGUAUGGGCCCGGAUCUAGUGGAAAACGACUCCGGAUCUUUUAAUUAUGAGGAACCGAGAUUGGACGAGACUGUAUUUGAUGUUUAGAGAAUUUAGACGGUUACAUGUUUCAAUGUAUAGACGGUUUCUUUAAUGAAGAUUGUAACGAAAAUCCUAAUAGAAGUGUUACAAUUCUGAUAUAAGUUAGAACAGUCAUUGAUGUUGAUGGAGUGUAAAUACAUAUAUUGGUUUGGUAUUAUUCUUGUAUAAACAUUUAAGUUUAUAUAUGAUCUUUUGAUAUGUAGCUAUGAAUUGUUUUGUUAUUUAGGGUGGAUUGUUAGGAAUUUUGUUAAUAAAUAGUUAAAACAUAUUCUAGCUUUAGAUAAAACUAUAAACAAAUUGAACUCUGCAUGCCUGGUGAAAAGAGAUUUGUGUUGUGGGUUAUAAAGUAAGCAGAAAGGGUCAUUAAACUCUGGUUGAACUGACCCAACUUAGCCCUGAGAUGUUUAGAUAAGGCUGUGGGUCACUUUUUAGGUCUUCCAUUAUCUUGAGUUGUCUGCUCAAGUGGUAAUCAAUUAUAGUGAGCCUUCAGGAUAAAUGAUCAUAUGGUGUUUUCAUGUGAGUGCCCUGUGAGGUUAGAAUGAACUUUUGAACCUGUUUUCUAUUUGAUUAGGACAAUGAGACGCAUUCUGUAACCUAUGACGUCAUAUAUUGUAUAUAAGUCUGUGUUUAUGAUCAAAUGAGAGCUUGCUCCGAGAAUAAACACUAUUAUCUAAUUUUAAUA